UGGGCAGCCACGAUGGGAAAGCGCUACACUGGCAGUGUAGAGGUCAGCGAUUCGAUCCCGCUAUGCUCCACCA
rnacentral:tRNA from 1 species